CCUACGGGGGACAGCAGUGGGGAAUAUUGCACAAUGGGGGAAACCCUGAUGCAGCGACGCCGCGUGAGUGAAGAAGUAAUUCGUUACGUAAAGCUCUAUCAGCAGGGAAGAAAAUGACGGUACCUGAGUAAGAAGCCCCGGCUAACUCCGUGCCAGAACCCGCGGGAAUACGUAGGGGGCAAGCGUUAUCCGGAUUUACUGGGUGUAAAGGGAGCGUAGACGGUGCGUCAAGCCUGGCGUGAAAUGCCGCAGCUUAACUGCGGAACUGCGUUGGAAACUGGCGAACUAGAGUGCGGGAGGGGUAAGCGGAAUGCCUAGUGUAGCGGUGAAAUGCGUAGAUAUUAGGAGGAACACCGGUGGCGAAGGCGGCUUACUGGACCGUAACUGACGUUGAGGCUCGAAGGCGUGGGGAGCAAACAGGAUUAGAUACCCGAGUAGUC
rnacentral:rRNA from 1 species